rnacentral:lncRNA from 1 species
UGGGAUUCAAACUCUCUGGGUACAUAGAAGAGUAGUAAUAAAGGCAACAAUAAAGAGUGAUACAAUAAUUUACUUUCUUUUGACCUUCAAUUUUUACUAAAAUUAUGGUAACCUUUUUCACUGUCAAAAGAAGCAAGUAAUUCAGCUAAUACUAAAUCUAACUUAAAAUACUAAUUGUAAUUAAUUGGCUAGACUGCUCACUCGAAUAAUUUUUUGCAGCCUUCAACCACAAAUCGAGCUUCCUUCAUGGCCGCUCUCAAUUUAGUUCGACUGGCAAGUCCUUCAUGGCUGCUCUCACCUUUUUAGCUGGUGGCCAUCAGCUAGAUGCACAUAGCACACUGAAAAAAGGUAACCAGAGGAGAUAUCUCAGUGAUGAACUGAACAUGCUAUAACCAUGAAACCACAAAUAACUCACCAAUAGAUAACUUAUUUCUUAAGCUUCCUAUAAAGGGGAAAACUUACAUGUCAGUCCCAUACAUAUAGUCACAACAUGUAUGCAACAAAUGUACAUAUAUGAAAAGGUACGUAGAAGGAAAUACAUAGAACACGAUGGAACAAAAGAAAGCCAUUUUUUCACCUAAAAGUUAUUGUCAAAUGCAGCAAGAACAUGUGUGCAUUUUCUUGAAAUGUACAUAUAGGAAAAAGGCAAAAAAAUAUUACACAUUGCAGUGACACACAGUCAGUGAUCCUCUGGGCUAUUGCAUGAGUGGAGAAGCCAACAAACACGACAUAGAAGUCACUUAAAAGGCUAUCACCAUAUUAGCAUGUAGAUCAAAAGUAAUGAAUAGAUUGCAAUCUGUUGGGUGGAUGAGACGAGCUACACUUGCUGUCAUCUCGAACUGGCCAAUAAUGCUGAGUGGGAAUCAACACCCUUGAAAAGAAAUCGUAGUAUUUUGGUUUAAUCACAAGCUAUGAUAUAUAC